UACGUAGGGUGCGAGCGUUGUCCGGAAUUAUUGGGCGUAAAGGGCUCGUAGGCGGCCAACUAAGUCAGACGUGAAAUCCCCAGGCUUAACCUGGGAACUGCGUCUGAUACUGGAUGGCUUGAGUUUGGGAGAGGGAUGCGGAAUUCCAGGUGUAGCGGUGAAAUGCGUAGAUAUCUGGAGGAACACCGGUGGCGAAGGCGGCAUCCUGGACCAACACUGACACUGAGGAGCGAAAGCCAGGGGAGCAAACGGG
rnacentral:rRNA from 1 species